rnacentral:rRNA from 1 species
GGGUGCGAUCAUACCAACGUUAAUGCACCGGAUCCCAUCAGAACUUCGCAGUUAAGCACACUUGGGCUAGAGUAGUGCUGGGAUGGGUGACCUCCCGGGAAAUCCUAGUGUUGCACCCU